UCUCCGUAGGUGAACCUGCGGAAGGAUCAUUAUCGUAAAACCGAGGUGCGAGGGCUGUCGCUGACCUUUUCGGUCGUGCACGCCCGAGCGCUCUCACACAAUCCAUCUCACCCCUUGUGCACCACCGCGUGGGUCCCUUUCAGGCUCGUCCGGAGGGGGGCUCGCGUUUUCACACAAACUUGAAGUAGUGUAGAAUGUCCUUUUUUUGCGAUAACACGCAAUCAAUACAACUUUCAACAACGGAUCUCUUGGCUCUC
rnacentral:misc_RNA from 1 species